GACAGAGGAGCCAAGCGUUGUCCGGAUUGACUGGGCGUAAAGCGCACGCAGGCGGACUGGCGCGUGGGGUGUGAAAGCUGGCGGCUUAACUGCCAGUCGCCAUCCCAUACGGCCGGUCUGGAGCCUUGCAGAGGGCGGUGGAAUUGCCGGUGUAGUGGUGAAAUGCGUAGAGAUCGGACAGGAACACCCAGGGGGAAACCGAGC
rnacentral:rRNA from 1 species